CCGGCGACCGGCGCACGGGUGAGUAACACGUAUGCAACCUGGCCGCCACAGGGGGAUAACCCGCGGAAACGCGGCCUAAUACCCCGUGACGCCACCGGAGGGCAUCCUCCGGUGGCCAAAGGAGCGAUCCGGUGGCGGAUGGGCAUGCGGCGCAUUAGCUAGACGGCGGGGCGACGGCCCACCGUGGCGACGAUGCGUAGGGGUUCUGAGAGGAAGGCCCCCCACACUGGGACUGAGACACGGCCCAGACUCCUACGGGAGGCAGCAG
rnacentral:rRNA from 1 species